GAUGAACGCUGGCGGCGUGCCUAAUACAUGCCAGUCGAGCGAACGGACGAGAAGCUUGCUUUUCUGAUGUUAGCGGCGGACGGGUGAGUAACACGUGGAUAACCUACCUAUAAGACUGGGAUAACUUCGGGAAACCGGAGCUAAUACCGGAUAAUAUUUUGAACCGCAUGGUUCAAAAGUGAAAGACGGUCUUGCUGUCACUUAUAGAUGGAUCCGCGCUGCAUUAGCUAGUUGGUAAGGUAACGGCUUACCAAGGCAACGAUGCAUAGCCGACCUGAGAGGGUGAUCGGCCACACUGGAACUGAGACACGGUCCAGACUCCUACGGGAGGCAGCAGUAGGGAAUCUUCCGCAAUGGGCGAAAGCCUGACGGAGCAACGCCGCGUGAGUGAUGAAGGUCUUCGGAUCGUAAAACUCUGUUAUUAGGGAAGAACAUAUGUGUAAGUAACUGUGCACAUCCUGACGGUACCUAAUCAGAAAGCCACGGCUAACUACGUG
rnacentral:rRNA from 1 species